rnacentral:rRNA from 1 species
AGUGAACGCUGGCGGUAGGCCUAACACAUGCUAGUCGAACGGCAGCACAGAGGAGCUUGCUCCUUGGGUGGCGAGUGGCGGACGGGUGAGGAAUACGUCGGAAUCUACUCUGUCGUGGGGGAUAACGUAGGGAAACUUACGCUAAUACCGCAUACGACCUACGGGUGAAAGCAGGGGAUCUUCGGACCUUGCGCGAUUGAAUGAGCCGAUGUCGGAUUAGCUAGUUGGCGGGGUAAAGGCCAACCAAGGCGACGAUCCGUAGCUGGUCUGAGAGGGUGAGCAGCCACACUGGGACUGGGCCACGGUCCAGACUCCUACGGGAGGCAGCAGUGGGGAAUAUGAGACAAUGGGCGCAAGCCUGAUCCUGCCAUACCGCGUGGGUGAAGGAGGCCUUCGGGUUGUAAAGCCCUUUUGUUGGGAAAGAAAUCCAUCUGGUUAAUACCCGGGUGGGAUGACGGUACCCAAAGAAUAAGCACCGGCUAACUUCGUGCCAGCCGCCGCCGUAA